GAUAGUUUGGCUGAGUGGUUUAAUGCCCCAGAUUUAUCCUCCGGUCUGAAAGGGCAUGGGUUCAAAUCCCACCAUUAUCA
rnacentral:tRNA from 1 species